UAGGGAAUAUUGGACAAUGGGUGAGAGCCUGAUCCAGCCAUGCCGCGUGCAGGAGGAAGGCGUUAUGCGUUGUAAACUGCUUUUUGCCAGGGGAUAAAAAGACCGUGCGCGGUUAAUUGAAGGUACCUGGUGAAUAAGCCACGGCUAACUACGUGCCAGCAGCCGCGGUAAUACGUAGGUGGCAAGCGUUGUCCGGAUUUAUUGGGUUUAAAGGGUGCGUAGGUGGCCCUGUAAGUCAGUGGUGAAAUAUCUCAGCUUAACUGAGAGGGUGCCAUUGAUACUGCAGGGCUUGAGUACAGAUGAGGUAGGCGGAAUUGACGGUGUAGCGGUGAAAUGCAUAGAUAUCGUCAAGAACACCGAUAGCGAAGGCAGCUUACCAAGCUGUAACUGACACUGAGGCACGAAAGUGUGGGGAUCAAACAGGAUUAGAUACCCCAGUAGUCCCUGAGCGGGCUGGCAAGGCGCAU
rnacentral:rRNA from 1 species